GGAAGUCUUAUCCAUAGAUGGCAGUUGCUCCUCGUGGCGGUACUUUUCUAUCUGUGUCAUGCGGAGUCUAAAGCCGCCCAACUAGAACGUAUUUUCAGUGGAGAAAACGCAAAGCAGCAAAGAUUGCCUCAUGAAGUCAUUUAUGAUCUUGAAACAAAUAAUCAUUUGCUUUUACGAUGCGUUGGAACUAUAAUCGGUGAAAGAACUAUUCUUACAGCAGCUCAAUGCUUUGAUAUAAAUUUUGGCAAAAUCGAAAGGAUCAGAAUUCACUUUAGUCAUGUUAUCGUCCUUGGAACUGACAGCUAUGUGGUUCAUGAAAGCUAUCAAUGUAAUAUAAAACAUAACAUUGCUUUAAUUAAACUACCACACAAACUGGAAUUCAACCAGCAUUUUCAACCAGCUAAACUGCCAAAGCCCGAUAACCUUUAUGUUAACAAAAAUGCAGUUGCCUCCGGUUGGAGCCCAUAUAAUGGUAAUACGUAUCUUUGGCAUAUGAACGUAAAAACUUUAUCAAAUGAGCAAUGCCAGUGCUUAAUAAAAAGAGCUAAAAAGUUCUAUUCACAUUGGCUAUGCAGCGAGGCUAAUGAGAAUAUUCCGUGCCAUGAUCUCCGUGGUAGUCCACUGAUAGACAGGAACCCUGAUGGUUCUAGCACUGUGAUUGGUAUCGUGAAUGUAGAACAAAACUGCAAUCCUGAUCGUACUAAUUUUUAUACUCGGGUUUCAUAUUUCGUAAACUGGAUCGCUCAGCAUACUAAUGAGUCAUAAGAAAUCUUUACAAUCAUUAA
rnacentral:sRNA from 1 species